CUGGCUCCUCCCGGUGAGCUGGGUGCUAUGACAGAUUAGACUUUUAUGCAAGAAAAUCAGUCCUGCGCAGUUGAUGUACUGCUUUAAACUUAAAGACCCCUUGGGACCUGAAACUGUAAGAUUUUCCUGGCUUUUGUUGACCUUUUACUCUUCCAUAAAAUUGCAAAUCAGCUUGUCCAGUUCUUCAGAAAAUCCUGAAUUCUAUAAACCUGAAGAGUAAUCUUUUAGAAAAAUCAUCAGAAGGAGGGAAUUUGUGGAAAUAAAACUGGAAACAUUCAGAAUCUUGAUGGUGUGCCAAACCAAAUGUCAACUGGAGCUCAGCCAAAGACUCAAGAGAUCUUCCCUGGAGUAGGACCCAGGAAUCAAACCUGCGUCUCUUGCAUCUCCUGCACUGACAGGCAGAUUCUUUAUCAUUGUGCCACCUGGGAAGCCCCGAUGUGUCAAUGCCG